CGGCGCACGGGUGAGUAACACGUAUCCAACCUGCCGUCUACUCUUGGACAGCCUUCUGAAAGGAAGAUUAAUACAAGAUGGCAUCAUGAGUCCGCAUGUUCACAUGAUUAAAGGUAUUCCGGUAGACGAUGGGGAUGCGUUCCAUUAGAUAGUAGGCGGGGUAACGGCCCACCUAGUCUUCGAUGGAUAGGGGUUCUGAGAGGAAGGUCCCCCACAUUGGAACUGAGACACGGUCCAAACUCCUACGGGAGGCAGCAGUGAGGAAUAUUGGUCAAUGGGCGCAGGCCUGAACCAGCCAAGUAGCGUGAAGGAUGACUGCCCUAUGGGUUGUAAACUUCUUUUAUAAAGGAAUAAAGUCGGGUAUGUAUACCCGUUUGCAUGUACUUUAUGAAUAAGGAUCGGCUAACUCCGUGCCAGCAGCCGCGGUAAUACGGAGGAUCCGAGCGUUAUCCGGAUUUAUUGGGUUUAAAGGGAGCGUAGAUGGAUGUUUAAGUCAGUUGUGAAAGUUUGCGGCUCAACCGUAAAAUUGCAGUUGAUACUGGAUAUCUUGAGUGCAGUUGAGGCAGGCGGAAUUCGUGGUGUAGCGGUGAAAUGCUUAGAUAUCACGAAGAACUCCGAUUGCGAAGGCAGCCUGC
rnacentral:rRNA from 1 species